UCAAGUCCAUUUUUUCCUGGUGACAGAUAUUUUUGUUUUCCUCAUCAGGGGCUUUUGCGGGGUAUCGGCGCCUCCCAUGAUCAUGUGGAUGACGUGUUGUGGCUCGUUUGCCUCAUUUUUCUUGGUCACCUCUCUAUCUCGAAAAUGAUAUUUGGCUCGAUCACUAAGGAAUUACCGAAGCUGCCCUUUGUUUAGCAGUUCUUCUCGUAAUUUCUGGCAAUCAUCAGGUUUGUGACCGUGUGUAUUGUGGA
rnacentral:lncRNA from 1 species